AUACGGAGGAUCCGAGCGUUAUCCGGAUUUAUUGGGUUUAAAGGGUGCGCAGGCGGCCAUUUAAGUCAGCGGUUAAAUCGUGGGGCUCAACCCCAUUCUGCCGUUGAUACUGGGUGGCUUGAUUGCGGUCGAGGUUGGCGGAAUUCGUUGUGUAGCGGUGAAAUGCAUAGAUAUGACGAAGAACACCGAUUGCGUAGGCAGCUGACCAGACCGCAAAUGACGCUCAUGCACGAAAGUGCGGGUAUCAAACAGGAUUAGAUACCCUGGUAGUCCACACAGUAAACGAUGAAUACUCGCUGUUUGCGAUAUACAGUAAGCGGCCAAGCGAAAGCGUUAAGUAUUCCACCUGGGGAGUACGCCGGCAACGGUGAAACUCAAAUGAAUUGGCGGGG
rnacentral:rRNA from 1 species